rnacentral:lncRNA from 1 species
AGCACUCACACAAACUGAAGGGCCCGGUCUCACUCCUACCGUGCCCCCCACAACAGCCCUGAGUCUGUUUCCAGGUGGUGGGCGAGAGGGGUUUGAAAAUUUGCCCCAGGCUAUCCGCCUCCCAGCUGGGCAAGAAAAGGGCGUGGUUGUUCCCCCACUGAGGAGUCUGCACACCGGAUUUGCAUCUUCCCCUGAGUUCUGGCCUGGAGGCUUCUCGCCCCUGCAAAUUGUUACAAAGUUCAGCUAGAGGGUUCCUUCUUCCUGUGGAGUUUUACCUUCUGCUCCUCUGGCCACCCUCCUGAUGGAUCCCUGUGGUGCCAGGCAGGAAUGACCUGCUUAAGGACCCAGCGAGCUCCCAGGACCUUUCUGCUGCUUCCUCUACCCGUAUAUUUUGCUUGCUUCUCUACAUUGACUCAGCUCCAGCGAUUCCUGAGGAAUCUCAUCCACACUACCCUAUGGACUAAAAGGAAAAGCUCUUCAUGUGGUGUUAGCACGGAGAUGAGAAAGAGAGAAAGACAACAUCAUGCUUUGCUGUCUGUGUGUGAACUGAGUAACAGCUGUGAAGGAUCAGUCACCAAAAGACUUUGAAAGAAGAGGCUUGAUUGGUCACGAUGAUGCCACUGAAAGGUAAACAUACCAUUCUGACAUGCAUGAAAAUGAAACGACAAAUUGAUACACGCAGUGCUUGGAAUGGAUGGAGUCCUUCUAAUGAGUGAUUACCUGUGGUAUAACUAUAUUGAUUGUGUUUGUACAUGUCAAAUGGGGCUGGCGAGGAUGAACUUGAAGAAAUCAAUCUUGGAACCUGCUAGGACAGCAGCCUCCUGGUUUCACAGUACUAAAUCAUGACUUCAAAAUUUUGAAGUAAAAGAAAACUGCAAAACUUUGUAAAGUCUCGCCCCACAGCAAAUUAGAAGUUAAUUUGCAUGAGAGCAAGAGCCUUUGCUGUCCUGUUUUACAUCGUUGAUGCCUAAAUGAAAAGAAUGAAAGAAGAUGGAGAGAUCUGAGUACAACCAUCAAGUGAAGGCGUAACCAAGGGAGGCUUGAGCAUACACGUAGACAGAGGGGAGGAAUCUUGUGGAAUAGAAGAGGAUAGAGACACAGAAGAGAGGAUUCAUUGGUGAAAUGAAGCCUCAUGCAUGUUAAUGGGUAAAUAACUUGAGUUGAGAUUUAUCCCGGGAAGACAAAAUCC